rnacentral:rRNA from 1 species
AUGGAGGCGAGCGGCAGCAGGGGAUGGAGGCGCCAACAGCUCUUGAUUGAUGGUUCCAUAUCUGGUUCUUCAUUGGACGCUGUUGAACGUCCACACUGGAUAUGGAUUUUCUCCAUCAAUGGCCACUUGGGAUGGAUUAAAUAUAUGCGUCCAGCUCUUCAAGUAUGGCACAGAGCCGGAGCAUCUGCUGUUCCACCAAAAGUCAGAAUCCUCGGCUGGAGGAUUGCCACUAAUUCUUUGGCUACAAAAAAGAACAAGUUCAGAAGGACUAUUGAGGUGGAUUCCACAUGUAUUAUAUGUGGAAACAGCGAGGAGGAUGAAUUUCAUGCAGUAGUCGAGUGUACCAAGAGCAGAGCUCUGAGGGAAGCAAUGAGAAAGGAAUGGGCACUCCCCCCAGAAAGUUCAUUUCGGCGCACUGGACCUGAUUGGCUGCAGUUGCUACUUAGUACUGUAACAGAGGAUAUGCGUGCGAGAUUAGUAAUGCUACUGUGGAGAUGCUAUGGAGUGAUCCGGGAUCUCAAAGAAGCACUGGCUUUGUUUGCAGAGCACAAGAUCUCUUUUGUUUGGAGGAAUUGCAACGUUUUAGCCCAUCAACUAGCUGCAGAGGCCAAACAGAAUGGAAACCUGCUAAUCAAUGCGGGGGUCCCGGAUAGAUUAAGGGAUCAGUUGACGUCGGAGUGUAAUCCUUCUACUUGA